GGAUGCGCUGCGGAUCGGGAGCCGCGACGCGCCCCGAAAGCGCGCGGGCCCAAGGGCCCUGUGGGUUCGACUCCCACCGCAUCCG
rnacentral:tRNA from 1 species